AUUGAACGCUGGCGGCAGGCCUAACACAUGCAAGUCGAGCGGAUGAAGGGAGCUUGCUUCUGGAUUCAGCGGCGGACGGGUGAGUAAUGCCUAGGAAUCUGCCUGGUAGUGGGGGAUAACGUCCGGAAACGGGCGCUAAUACCGCAUACGUCCUGAGGGAGAAAGUGGGGGAUCUUCGGACCUCACGCUAUCAGAUGAGCCUAGGUCGGAUUAGCUAGUUGGUGGGGUAAGGGCUUACCAAGGCGACGAUCCGUAACUGGUCUGAGAGGAUGAUCAGUCACACUGGAACUGAGACACGGUCCAGACUCCUACGGGAGGCAGCAGUGGGGAAUAUUGGACAAUGGGCGAAAGCCUGAUCCAGCCAUGCCGCGUGUGUGAAGAAGGUCUUCGGAUUGUAAAGCACUUUAAGUUGGGAGGAAGGGCAGUAAGUUAAUACCUUGCUGUUUUGACGUUACCAACAGAAUAAGCACCGGCUAACUUCGUG
rnacentral:rRNA from 1 species